rnacentral:lncRNA from 1 species
GAGCCAGUGUACCGUUCCAGGUUACGGAGUUUCUGCACAGUUUGCAAACUGAUAAGGUGGAGAGCAUGUUCUGCCUUCUCCGUGCCUUUGUGCGCCACUGCAGCUCAUGCACCUGGUCCCCCUGAACAGUCGUGGGGGGAUGCAGCAUGGUGGUUUAAAGAAGCAGGCAGAUAUAACCCGCUUUUACCAAUGAAGUCUGGAUUCUUCUCAUUCAAAUUAUCUUUGGAACUAGCAUUGCAAGUCCGUGAGGUUUUCUAUCAGCGACUUCAUCUGAGGAAUGGAUUUCUGUCUUCACAGAGGAGGAGCAUCCAUUGUCUGUCAGAAGGAGCAUCCAUUGCCUGUCUGGAGGAGCAUCCAUUGUCUGUCAGAAGGAGCAUCCAUUGUCUGUCAGGAAGGAGCAUCCAUUGUC